rnacentral:rRNA from 1 species
AGGACGAACGCUGGCGGCGUGCUUAACACAUGCAAGUCGAGCGGAAAGGCCCUUCGGGGUACUCGAGCGGCGAACGGGUGAGUAACACGUGAGCAACCUGCCCUUAGCUCCGGGAUAGCUCCGGGAAACCGGAAUUAAUACCGGAUAUGACCUAGGCCGACAUCGGCUGUGGUGGAAAGUUUUUCGGCUGGGGAUGGACUCGCGGCCUAUCAGCUUGUUGGUGGGGUAAUGGCCUACCAAGGCGACGACGGGUAGCCGGCCUGAGAGGGCGACCGGCCACACUGGGACUGAGACACGGCCCAGACUCCUACGGGAGGCAGCAGUGGGGAAUCUUGCGCAAUGGGCGAAAGCCUGACGCAGCGACGCCGCGUGGGGGAUGAAGGCCUUCGGUUGUAAACCCUUUCAGCAGGACGAAGCGAAAGUGACGGUACCUGCAGAAGAAGCGCCGGCUAACUACGCGCCAGCAGCCGC